CCAAUACGUUCCGUCGUUCGAUCCCAACUCGGAUCCCCAAACCCAAGCCUGCAAGCACAACCAAAGCACCUGGCAAAACUCCUGCUGGGCACCUCAACAAACCACUCCAAGACAGCCCUUCUGGAAAGAUACGCAUUGUAAGGACCGUGUCUAAAGCGUGCCUUCAAAGUGGAGGGAGAAGAGUGCAUUCCAACAGUCUAAAUGGCUCAACUGAUAAUACGUGGCAAAACUCCUUACACAUAGGCGUUUCUUUAAGAACUGCCAAAUCCUAAUUCCUAAAUAAAGCAAAAGCUGGUGGUGAUCACAGUGCCAUAGCCAGAACUGCAAUCCUUCUGCUGAAGCAAGGAGAGAUUCUGAUGCAUUCAGUUACCCGAUUUUUCCCUUUCAUUUCACAGCUAAAAGUUUACCUUAAGCACUGAGACAGUACAACACAUUAGCACUGCUGUGUGACUGUUUUUGCAAAUCCACAAGAAACCUAUGCCUUUCUCAACAGCUUCACAAGAAAUUCUCUGGAAGUACUUUAAAAAGUUUUAAAAGAUCAAUCUACUGAAAAAUUAUUUCAGCUGUGUCCUACAAGACACACCUGUGUUAAUAUGGAGACAAUAAAGAUUGACUUUUCCUCAGUAAAAAGGAAAGGCUUCCCAUUGUAUUCACUAAAUCUGCAGCUAUCAAGUUCUGAGAGUCUGUACCAUGUAUGCUCAGAUCCCAACACAGCUCACAGAAGCCCACCACUGUAAUCAGCAGAACGAAUGUACACUGAUGUGAAGAAACCUAGAUUUCAAAAAGCAGCUGUCAGCUUGGCAUGCUUAUCAGAAAGAUCCUCAAGUACUGACCAAGUUCUAUCACAAGGAACAGCAAGUCAUUGAUGAGCCAAAAAGGAGAAACAAACCUCUUCAUACAGAGCCCAGCAACAGACCUCAGCUCUGAUCAAGCAACAGUGCUCCCACUGAACGCACUACAGUGAAGAGCCUGCUUCUCAAUGGCUGCAAAUCACACAUUCAAAAUUGAUGUUAACUGGCACCCUUCAGCAUGAAGAAAGAAAACAGAAGCCCUGGCAAAAGAAAUCAACUCCUGCAACAGCAUCCUUUGCUUUAGAGCCCACACAGGACCCCACAAGCACUGCCAAAUCAUCCUGUGGUCCUAUAUUACACUUCUCAUCUACUUGUAGUGCUGACAUACAAGAGUUUUGCUCCUGUCUUGCAAUGACACAAUUAAUUUCUACCUAAGAGGGCCAUGCCCCUCACAGGUAGAUCCUAUUUAAGGAUCUAAAACUGACAAAUGGGGAUACUACACUCCUGUGGGAUUAAGGGCAAUAUGGAAAGCAUGGAAAAUGAAAGACAAGGAGUGGUGACUAAAAAGGAGGAAACUGGAAGAAUUUCUGAAAAACAGAAUUGCAUCCCUCUCCCUCUGACUGACUGGGAGAUGAGGCACACUGGCUACAGGCAAGAUCCAGACAUUUAUAGCGCUGUGAGAAUUUCUUUUCUGUUCACAGAGGGAAGCGGAGAAAGUUGGUGUCCUUCAUCAGAACGAAAUAAACUCCUCUGAAUUCCUUAUCCUUUCCCUUGCAAUUCCAAAUGCAAUAUAAAAAUCACAUGAAAAACUGGACAAAGUUGUGACACAAACUGGAAAAAGGAAGGUAAGGAAGUCCUGCAGUUACAUGACGUGGGUCAUGUAAUACUAAAUCACGCUGCUAAGCAGGGAAUGAUCCCCAACUAGUCCCUCCACAAAUCGCAUCUCUGAGGUUUGCUGAAGCCGUUGUUAGGCAAGAUUCCUUCGUUAUUGUCAUGUGACAAGGUAAAAAGAUGGGUAAUCCCUUUAACAUUGUUUUUCCUUGGGUUUAGCGGGCUUUUUGUACAUUUAAAAAUCACUUGCAGCAGGGUAAACAUUCAUGUCUUAAGGUGAGAGUAAUUACCUUCAAUCUUUAAUAUGAACUCUAAAAUAAUGACUUCCAAUGAUAUGGCCAAAAGCAAAUUUAGAAUUACAUAUCCGUACACUAGGAUAUGUAUUUAUAUCUAUUUUGUGUUUUCAUAUUCUUUAGGUGGAGUGUAUGAACAAUGUUCAUACUCAUUUUAAAAGUAGCCUUUUGUAACUACAAGUGGCUAAAAUCUAAAACACCUUUGAGAGCUGAGUUCUGAUGAAUACUCUGUAGUCAGAGCUUAUUCUAGGGUUAAUUUUAAAGGAUGUGGCAAAAGAUCAGUAUUUCAAAAGUACAUUUUGAAUUCUGCUUCGCACCUGCAGUUAUGGCAGAGAUGUUAUUUUUAAAUAGUCAGCAAAGGAGGUUGAAUAGUAUUUUUUAUUGAAACUUGAUGUUUCACAGAAAUAAAAUUGACCAAGUCUUUCAAAGGUGCUCAGUAAUGUGCAAAUAUUUUCUUGUAUUGCUGCCUACAUCAUACAUUGUGAACCCUGAUUUCCUCUUCUACGCCAACUGAAUUUAAAGCAUUUUACAGUAUCAAUAAGAUGCUGUACAAAUUAACCUUUGAUUUUACCUGUUUUACGUGAAAAAUAGCUACACAAAAUAAAAGUAACAGAUGUUUUAUGUUUACUGAUAGCUUGUGUCAACUUCAUCCAACAACAGGCUCCAUAAAAAGAACCUGCCAAAAAGUUUCCAAAGGUGGGCUGCAGACAGCAGAGUACCUGGUUUGCACAACACCCACCUGUAAUCACUACUCAUAACACUCAUUCAUUCCAAAGAAUGCUCUUGGAGUAAAGUAUACAGGACUGGGUUAGGCACCUCCAGAGGUUGCGUUCCACCUGGAUUCUUUCAGUAGCUCAAAAAUACUAUUGUGAAAAUCCCAAGGAAUUUUUCAUAGCUGGAAAGGUUGUCAUUCACAGUCUCACCUCAAAGUCCGAUGGUUCAUCCAUUAUGUCAAAAGUUUAUCAUCCAAGUCCUGCUCUGUAUCCAGUUUCUAAAGGAAAGCUGCCAACAUUGCAACCACCCACCCCAAGUGAAACCUGUGGUGGCAGAAUGUGCAGGUGGGCUCUUCAGAAAAAUCCCUAACGAAGAGCAUUGGAACUGGGACUGCUUAAGGAACCCACAUGAGACUAAAAAUAAAAAUUAAAUGCUCAGAAGUCUAAUUAGGUCUUGUGAGCCCCCUUUA